CCAUUUCCCCUCGCUCAUGGCCCUAUGCAGACCAUCAGGCAGAACGCCCUGGAGGAAUCACGUCUUGUUUUUUAAAGUAAACAUGUAAUAAGUUCCCAGAAAAUUCCUAAAAAAAUGAUCCUAAAAUCUUCAGGACCAGUAGGCACUGCCAACCUGAGGGAAAAUAUGUAGUUUUUCGUGUGAGCUAUAAGAAACCUAUAGUCCACAUCAUACAUUCUGGUGAAAGACUGGAUGCUGUCUCCCUAAAAUCAGGAAAAGGCAAGGAAGUCUGCUGCCGGCCACUGGGGCGUCAAGGUCAAGUCUGAGCUCUUGGGGGCAGAGGAAGGUUGGGCUACGGAUCUGGAGGUCUCUGCUUCAACGACAUUUUGGGUCAGGGUGUAGGUUUUAAAUCUGAGCGAUAUUCAGGCUUCUUCAUUUUCAUCCUAACCAACCUUCCAGAAGCGCCGCACAGGUGCUGGCGCGGAGCUGCUUCGCGAUUGGUCGAGUCCGGCCUCUCCAGAGGGAAGGAACAAAAGGAAAGCGCGUCUCUGCGACCGAGACCCGCGAACCAUCUGCGCCAGCCAAGAGUGGUCCACGUGGGAGGAGCCGCGGACCUCAAUCCGGACGCAGGCCGCCAGCGGCUGAGCCCACCCUGCGAGGGCAUCUGUUGGCGCCGUCUGAGCUCUGCGAAACGCCGGGGAGGGUGAAGACCGGCUCUUCAGUCGCUACAGCAAAUUCACCGCAGCAUCUCCGGUGGAAGCUUUGCCGUGGGUGCUCCUGUAUAAAUGAGGUGGGACCUCCUAAAUGUCUUGCAGGAGGCCUGUAUGUGGGGAAUAAAAAGCAAUGCCAGUGCCCAAGGCCAGCAUAGAACCUAAGACCUUCCAGGCUUCAGUCUAAAGCGUUCCCCGCAGGGCUAGUCUGUCAGUGUGGGGCUGUGACACACAAAUGAGGAAAUUAGACUAUUCUUUGUUCCCAAUUCAAAGUCAUCGCUCUGUUCUGAGUGUCCUAAAACUCGGAGAUGGA
rnacentral:lncRNA from 1 species